GAUGAACGCUGGCGGCGUGCCUAAUACAUGCAAGUCGAGCGAACGGACGAGAAGCUUGCUUCUCUGAUGUUAGCGGCGGACGGGUGAGUAACACGUGGAUAACCUACCUAGAAGACUGGGAUAACUUCGGGAAACCGGAGCUAAUACAGGAUAAUAUUUUGAACCGCAGGGUUCAAAAGUGAAAGACGGUCUUGCUGUCACUUAUAGAUGGAUCCGCGUUGCAUUAGCUAGUUGGUAAGGUAACGGCUUACCAAGGCAACGAUGCAUAGCCGACCUGAGAGGGUGAUCGGCCACACUGGAACUGAGACACGGUCCAGACUCCUACGGGAGGCAGCAGUAGGGAAUCUUGCGCAAUGGGCGAAAGCCUGACGGAGCCACGCCGCGUGAGUGAUGAAGGUCUUCGGAUCGUAAAACUCUGUUAUUAGGGAAGAACAUAUGUGUGAGUAACUGUGCACAUCUUGACGGUACCUAAUCAGAAAGCCACGGCUAACUACGUG
rnacentral:rRNA from 1 species